GCUUCCAUUGACGUUUGAUUGACAGGUGCCCUGACACGCCCUCUUCAUAUGCUUCCCAUUUGGGCUAAAUUAGUUUAGCCCAAAGGCUGACCUAGCACAGUAGGUAGCUACAGUACAGUGACCUUCGACUAAUCACAGCACAGUCAGUAGCGCAAGAGUGCGGUCAGAAUAUGGCCGGUAAUAGUGCAUUUGUAAGCGGGUCAACUACGUUUCGUAUCGAAACAUUUAAAAAGCUGUCUAAAUAACCCAACAUGACGUGACAAGUGUGUAGAGAAAGUGGCCCCUCUCCAAGCUGCAUUUCAGCGACAGGCAGUAACAAUAAGGUUCUCUAAGGAAUCGGAAAUGAUCUCAUUUAAUGUUGCAUACAACAUUGCCAAAGAGGAGUUGCCAUUCUCAAUUUAAAUCCGAAAUUAUUCUCAUGAAGAGAAAUGGAUUAAAGAUCAACCCGACGUAUAGCAAUGAGAUGGCAUGUGCACAAUUCAUUGCAGUAGGCCAUGGGCGACACACUUAAAGCAAAAGACAGCUGCGGACGUCGGAAACGCCACAUAGGCCUACAUGUCCUUCAUGAUUGACGGCGACACAGACGUCUCUACCAAAGAGUGUGUGAUCGUCUACAGCCGCAUUUUGCGCAAAGGGAGACCAGUCAACAUUUUAAUUGUGUAAUACUUUAAGCAAAAGAAAAGUUUUAUUUUGCUUAAUGGUUUAGUUCGAAAUGUUCAAUUUCAGCUCAGUGAAGCACUUUAAACACCUUAUUUUUCUUCUAUUUAUAAUUGUGCUUCAAAUAAAGACAUGCCUUUCUCUACACCUUAAUCUUGUUUAAAAAUCAUUCACAUUAUAUGAAAGUUAUGAACAGAGAUAUAAAGGUGACCUCAUGGCGUCUGGAGCCCUGUGAAGUAUUGAUAAAUGUAAUGCAUUCUUUAGCCCACCCACCCAAAAUCACCACCAGCCGUCACUGUAAUUUGAGAAAUGCAUCCCUGCCGGCGAUUUUCAUUGGAUUAGGAAAUUAUGGGCGGGACUAUUUUGUCCCGCUCACGGACGCUCUGUCAUCUACGGAUACGAAUACUUUUGCUACACAUUUACCACCUAGGGGUGUUGCAAAACAACCUGCAAAAAAACCCCACAGCUGAGACUUGCAGGAGCAGAUUCGAGCAGUUGUAAAAUGGUUUUGUGCUCGCUCAUUAAAAUGCUGAAUUAACAUAGCGUUCACAGAUGUGCAACUUCUGAUGCAUUUGUUCAAAUUUGGGUUUACGAAUGCACACCUUUUGGGCAUGUUCUCAGAUUAUGAAACACGGGUGUGCGAAUGUGUUUUGCACCAACUGCGCUGCAAUAAUUGUAGCAAAAGGAUUUGUGCACCAGUAACACAGAUUAG
ensembl:lncRNA